rnacentral:rRNA from 1 species
ACGAACGCUGGCGGCAUGCCUAACACAUGCAAGUCGAACGAGACCUUCGGGUCUAGUGGCGCACGGGUGCGUAACGCGUGGGAACCUGCCCUUAGGUUCGGAAUAACUCCCCGAAAGGGGUGCUAAUACCGGAUAAUGUCUUCGGACCAAAGAUUUAUCGCCUUUGGAUGGGCCCGCGUUGGAUUAGCUAGUUGGUAGGGUAAAAGCCUACCAAGGCGAAGACCCAUAGCUGGUCUGAGAGGAUGAUCAGCCACACUGGGACUGAGACACGGCCCAGACUCCUACGGGAGGCAGCAGUGGGGAAUAUUGGACAAUGGGCGAAAGCCUGAUCCAGCAAUGCCGCGUGAGUGAUGAAGGCCUUAGGGUUGUAAAGCUCUUUUACCCGGGAUGAUAAUGGCAGUACCGGGAGAAUAAGCUCCGGCUAACUCCGUG